UUCUUCACACGAUAUAGAGUGAGUGAGGAGAGAAAGAAAGAUCAUCUUCAAAUGAAGCUAUUGUGGUUCAUUUUGCUUUUGUUUUUCAUUAUUCUUCUCUUCCAAGCAUAUAAUUCUUCGACUGGCAGGUCAGAAAAUUUUACAUCUCCACCUCCAUCUCCGGAAGGGAGCAACUCUCCUAUUGGUCGUUAUUCUGUUCGGAAUCCAUAGUGUAUGAUGGUUCACUACAUAUAAUAAUAACUAAAAAUGUUAUGUGAGAAAAAAAUAAUAGAGAACAACUAAAAACAACAUUUUGUUCUCAAUUUUUUUUUUUUUGUAACUUUGAUUUUUGAAAAUAAUGUCAAACACCCCUACUUAUUUUCAGAAAAUAAUUUUUAGAUUUUAAAAACAAAAAACAGAAUAAUGUUGUUUGCACCUAACCUAGUAUAAAUAUAAAUGUAUUUAUAAUCAAAGUUGUACUACUUAACAAGUUAGAAAAUUUUACAUCUCCACCUCCAUCUUUGGAAGGGAGCAACUCUCCUGUUGGUUGUUAUUCUGUUCGGAAUCCAUAGUGUACGAUGGUUCACUACAUAUAAUAAUAACUAAAAAUGUUAUGUGAGAAAAAAAAAAUUAGAGAACAACUUGUUAUCCUCAUUUCCUGACGUGGGCCCGGGACGGCGGUUUAGGCCCAUGGACUGGGCAUUCGAAUGUGGGCCCGACUCAAGCCCGCUUGGUACAGGAAUAUCCAAGGGCACGACCCUAGUGCACUUCGGGGCCCGGACAGUGUUCGGGAUGGUGAUCCAAGACAGUUGUCCGGGAGACGUACAGAGCUCGGAAUCCCGUUGAAGUAUACGUAAAACGGUCCCGGAGCCUGUGGUAAACGAAGAGGGACAAAGGUAAACGAACCCAGAUUAGGUCGUCUCCGGUUGGUAAAGAAAAGCGUCCGUGACCCUGAAACCGCCCCACUCCGCGUGGGGGUUGUCCCCACUUUUCACCUACAGAAAAGGUCACCUCGGGAUUGCACGCCGCUGUUUCAGAUCUGCGCUGCCAAGUACUCUAAUUGGUCUUGUCCCCUGAAUCUGCCUCCUAACUCGAAGUGCCCAGACCAAAAGCAUCGUUUUGUCGGGCGAAAUAUAGUUCUUGGGCCACCCUAUUGGGCCUUAAUUAGUCAUGAAUCUAUGUAUGUGUUUAUCUUUUAUAUUUGGCUUCCACCAAAGAAGCCAAGAGGAUUCAUAUCUCUGAUGGGCCCGGGUCAUACCCAGCCCAGACCCAGUGUACCUAAAAGCCUAUAAAUACAGGCGAUAGAACAUUGGGAAAAGUAUCUCUCUUCGACUGAUAUACAGUUACUCUGCCAAAAAAUAGAGAUAAACUCCAUUGUAAAAGACUUUCCAAGCUCUAAUACAACUGACUCGUGGACUAAGGCUCAUUAACGCCCCAACUACGUAAAAAU